AUACUUACCUGGCAGGGGAGAUACCAUGAUCAUGAAGGUGGUUCACCCAAGGUGAGGCUCAGCCAUUGCACUGAGGCUGUUGCUGACCUUUGCGAAUUCCCCAAAUGUGGGAAUCUCGACUGCAUAAUUUCUGGUAGUGGGGGACUGCGUCCGCGCUCUCCCCUG
rnacentral:snRNA from 1 species